ensembl:lincRNA
UAACUCCAAAUCCAGUAACUUUUUUCCAUACAAACAGGAUAUCAAGUCUGCAAAAGGGAUGUGCUUUCCCAGUUGGAACAGGAAGAAGUGUCAAGAGAAGGAGUAGUUUUUCCUCAAUGCCAGAAUCCAGGGAGGAAAUGUGCCUUUAAAACAUGGGAAAUGAUAGAAAUGGUAUUCAGUAAACCUACCUAUAGGAAAGACACUUCUAAAAUCAUGUCAUUGCACAGAUCUCACACCCAGAAGAAUUCCUUUAAAUGUAUUUCUUUGCAAGAAGAUUCCUCUCUCACAUCCAUAGUGAACCAAUAUGCAUUGAUUCACUUAACAAAGAAAUCCUGUUUCAGGAAACCACCUCCAGCAGUCCUCAGUGACUACUCAUAUUUUAAACAACAUAAGCCUCUUCACCAUACAUGUAAAUCAUAUGAAUACUACCAAAAUGAUAAAAAUUGUAUCCAGUGCUCUGAACUCAGA